UGGGGAAUAUUGCACAAUGGGCGAAAGCCUGAUGCAGCAACGCCGCGUGAGUGAUGAAGGCCUUCGGGUUGUAAAGCUCUGUCUUUUGGGACGAUAAUGACGGUACCAAAGGAGGAAGCCACGGCUAACUACGUGCCAGCAGCCGCGGUAAUACGUAGGUGGCAAGCGUUGUCCGGAUUUACUGGGCGUAAAGGAUGCGUAGGCGGAUUUUUAAGUGAGAUGUGAAAUACCCGGGCUUAACUUGGGUGCUGCAUUUCAAACUGGGAAUCUAGAGUGCGGGAGAGGAGAAUGGAAUUCCUAGUGUAGCGGUGAAAUGCGUAGAGAUUAGGAAGAACACCAGUGGCGAAGGCGAUUCUCUGGACCGUAACUGACGCUGAGGCAUGAAAGCGUGGGUAGCAAACAGGAUUAGAUACCCUGGUAGUCCACGCCGUAAAACGAUGAGUACUAGGUGUAGGAGGUAUCGACCCCUUCUGUGCCGCAGUUAACACAAUAAGUACUCCGCCUGGGAAGUACGAUCGCAAGAUU
rnacentral:rRNA from 1 species